rnacentral:tRNA from 2 species
GGGGCUUUGGCGAAGUUGGGAUCGCGCCUGACUGGCAGUCAGGAGAUCAGGGGUUCGAAUCCCCUAAGCUCCACCA